rnacentral:rRNA from 1 species
UACGUAGGGGCCUAGCGUUGUCCGGAAUUAUUGGGCGUAAAGAGCUCGUAGGCGGUUCGGCAAGUCGGAUGUGAAAUCUCCACGCUUAACGUGGAGGGGCCAUUCGAAACUGCUGUGACUCGAGUCCGGUAGGGGAGUGUGGAAUUCCCGGUGUAGCGGUGAAAUGCGCAGAUAUCGGGAGGAACACCAGUAGCGAAGGCGGCACUCUGGGCCGGUACUGACGCUGAGGGGCGAAAGCGUGGGGAGCGAACAGG